CACCUGCUGAAGAGUAUUGUCUAGUCCUGGAGGAGCUAACAAAAUACAGGGGUGUGUUUGCGACGGAUGUAAACAAAGAUAAGAAAAGGCUAGAGACAAAACUGAAAAAGAAAGGGAAGAAGGCUGGUGUCAAAUGGGACUCAACAAAUGUUGAUUACCUGCGGACACUCAAGACUGCACAAGAGAAACUAAGACUUCAGAUACUGGAGACCCUUCAACAGACCACUGCAGAGAGGCUGUGUUUGUUAGAUUGAAUGAAAAAGUAUGCAAGAGGACAAGCUGUAGCCAUAAGAUUGGGCAAGCAGCUAAAGCAAACAAACAAAAAGAUAAGAGAACAGCUGUCGUUGUACAAUGCGGUUGGCGGGGAAGUCGUUAAAAUGCCGACACAUUUGUCAUUUGAAGAUGUAAAGUCGUGCGACAGCAAGCUGUGGGACAUUUUGAAGUCAUCAGAUGUAGGUGCUUGGAGGACCAGUGUGCCUUUGUCUGUAAAACAGCAAGCUGUUCGCCUGUUUUGCAUGACACAGAGCUGCAGAAGAAAAGGAACUUUUGAUUUCAGAAAUGAAGUCAACAUUACAUUUCUUUUCCAAUGAACAUUCAGGUAUUUUAAACAAGGUCCUGAAUAAUGUUAAAGGAGACAUGCCAGUCAUCAUCAAAGAAGGGCUUUAUGUGGAAAUGAAAUUUAAUUCAUUACUGAAGGCAUUCCAGUCAUAUCUCCCAGACUUAAGCCUGACUUUGCUUUCUGAUUUUGCACAAAAGGUUGGUCUAACCAGCGUUCAAGAGGCCCGUAUUUCUGAAAUAAAUGAUGGAAACUUACCAGAAUACGAGUUAGAACCCUCUGAACCAACUGAUGUAAUACUCAGUGAUGAGGAUUUUACAGACAGUGAUAGUGACAAUGACUCUGAUGGUGACAAUUAAAUGUUUAAAAGACAUCAUUGACUCAAACGCAAUAUUGUCUUAAUUGUCUCAAUUGAAUUGUUCGCAAUAAGUGUUCUAAGAUAAGACAAACAACUGAGCUAUGGCUUUUUAAAUGCUCUUGUUUGUAGCUCAACUGGUAGCUCAACUGAGCACAAUGUGAGCUUUUGUGAUUGCCUUUUGUCCGUCGUUGGUUGUAUAACACAAAAGCUCACAUUGUGCUCAGUUGAGCAAAAUCAGAAAGCAAAGUCAGGGUUUACUCUGGGAGAUCUGGGAGAUAUGACUGGAAUGCCUUCAGUAGUGAAUUACUUGAAUCACUUUCCAGCCAUAUCAGUAAAAAGGUGAUUGGCAUUUAUUUCGAAUUUAAAUUCGCUUUAUAUAUAUUGACUUUUCUCCCCGCAAAUUUUGUUAGUGGAGCCCAAAUUAGGUCAUCCCGCUAGGAAAUUUCGCAGCGAGUAAAGUCGAGAUAUAGAGCCAAUAUAACUAUGAAAUAAACGCCAGUAUCUUUCUUGCUAAUAUGGCUGGAAAGUGAGCGGAAUUUAAAAACUUAUGCUUUGUAAGCACACUUAUCGGCCACAUUUAUUGUCCGGUCUUUUUCAUCUUGUUAACUCAAUAUUUAUUGUCCACUU